AUGAGUUUUCUCUUAAAAGAGGCUGGGGUUAUGCUCUCCAGUUUCGCCCAAGGAUGAGGCCGCGACCGAUCAGGUUGUUGGUGAGGUAAUGGCUCACCAAGCCUUUUACCGGUGCGGGCCGUGAGAGCGGGAGCCCGGAGAUGGGCACUGAGACAAGGGCCCAGGCCCUACGGGGCGCAGCAGUCGCGAAAACUUUGCAAUAAGCGAAAGCUUGACAGGGCUAUCCCGAGUGCCAUCCGCUGAGGAAGGCUUUUACCCAGUCUAGAACGCUGGGGGAAUAAGGAGAGGGCAAGUCUGGUGUCAGCCGCCGCGGUAAUACCAGCUCUCCGAGUGGUGUGGAUGUUUAUUGGGCCUAAAGCAUCCGUAGCUGGCUAGGUUAGUCCCCUGUUAAAUCCACCGAAUUAAUCGUUGGAUUGCGGGGGAUACUGCUUGGCUAGGGGACGAGAGAGGCAGACGGUAUUUCCGGGGUAGGGGUGAAAUCCUAUAAUCCCGGGAAGACCACCAGUGGCGAAGGCUGUCUGCUAGAACGCGCCCGACGGUGAGGGAUGAAAGCUGGGGGAGCGAACCGGAUUAGAUACCCGGGUAGUCCCAGCUGUAAACGAUGCAGACUAGGUGUUUGGACGGCCACGUGCCGUUCUAGUGCCGCAGGGAAGCUGUUA
rnacentral:rRNA from 1 species